GUGUCAGCAGCCGCGGUAAGACGAACCGUGCGAACGUUGUUCGGAAUCACUGGGCUUAAAGGGCGCGUAGGCGGCUUGCCAAGUCGGGGGUGAAAUACUUCAGCUUAACUGGAGAAGUGCCUUCGAUACUGGCAGGCUUGAGGGAGGUAGGGGUCUGCGGAACUUCUGGUGGAGCGGUGAAAUGCGUUGAUAUCAGAAGGAACGCCGGUGGCGAAAGCGGCGGACUGGACCUCUUCUGACGCUGAGGCGCGAAAGCUAGGGGAGCAAACGGGAUUAGAUACCCUCGUAGUCC
rnacentral:rRNA from 1 species